CAGCAGCCGCGGGAACACGUAGGUGGCAAGCGUUGUCCGGAAUUAUUGGGCGUAAAGCGCGCGCAGGCGGAUCAGUUAGUCUGUCUUAAAAGUUCGGGGCUUAACCCCGUGAGGGGAUGGAAACUGCUGAUCUAGAGUAUCGGAGAGGAAAGUGGAAUUCCUAGUGUAGCGGUGAAAUGCGUAGAUAUUAGGAAGAACACCAGUGGCGAAGGCGACUUUCUGGACGAAAACUGACGCUGAGGCGCGAAAGCCAGGGGAGCGAACGGGAUUAGAUACCCCGGUAGUCCCUGUCUCUUAUACA
rnacentral:rRNA from 1 species